GACGAACGCUGGCGGCGUGGAUUAGGCAUGCAAGUCGAACGGUAUCAUCCUUUCGGGGGUGAGAGAGUGGCGAACUGGUGAGUAACACGUAGGUUAUCUACCCUCAAGACGGGGACAACCCAGGGAAACUUGGGCUAAUACCGGAUGUGAGCAACUUUUAGUUGUUUGAAAGGUGGCGUAAGCUGUCGUUUGGGGAUGAGCCUGCGUCCUAUUAGUUAGUUGGUGAGGUAACGGCUCACCUAGGCAAUGAUAGGUAGGCGGCCUUAACGGGUGGUCGCCCACACUGGGAUUGAGAUACGGCCCAGACUCCUACGGGAGGCAGCAGUCGAGAAUAGUCUACAAUGGUCGGAAGACUGAUAGUGCGACGCCGCGUGAACGAUGAAUCCCUUCGGGGUGUAAAGUUCUUUUAUAUGUGAGCAGUGCUUCUUAUAUUAACAGUAUGGGGAGAGAGAUAUUAGCAUAUGAAUAAGCAACGGCUAACUCCGUGCCAGCGGCCGCGGUAAAACGU
rnacentral:rRNA from 1 species